AGAGUUGAUCCUGGCUUAGGAUGAACGCUAGCGGCAGGCUAACACAUGCAAGUCGAGGGCAUCGGGGGUAGCAAUACUGCCGGCGACCGGCGCAAGGGUGCGUAACGCGUGAGCAACAUGCCCGUAUCAGGGGGAUAAUCCAUGGAAACGUGGUCUAAUACCCCAUAGUAAUUAUGUAAGGCAUCUUAUAUAAUUUAAAGCUUUGGUGGAUACGGAUUGGCUCGCGUGACAUUAGCUGGAUGGUAAGGUAACGGCUUACCAUGGCUACGAUGUCUAGGGGUUCUGAGAGGAAGGUCCCCCACACUGGAACUGAGACACGGUCCAGACUCCUACGGGAGGCAGCAGUGAGGAAUAUUGGACAAUGGAUGGAAAUCUGAUCCAGCCAUGCCGCGUGCAGGAAGACGGCCCUAUGGGUUGUAAACUGCUUUUGUAUGGGAGCAAUAAGGGCUACGUGUAGUCCGAUGAGAGUACCAUACGAAUAAGCACCGGCUAACUCCGUGCCAGCCGCCGC
rnacentral:rRNA from 1 species